AAAAAAUAAUUGACUGCGGACAAAGUCCCCACUUGGGAGAACAUUUUCCAGAAAUCCACAAAAUAUAAGUAUAACAUUUAAUUAUUCACCAAAUGAUAACGUUUUCAAGAAAUUACUUUCAUAUCAAUUGUGAAUUAAAAUGUUAAGUAACUGGUGAUUAUCAGCCCAUUGCCAAGCUAGCUAAUACAUCGGACACGAUAGCUAGCCAGAAGGCGAUCUCAUCCUGCUAAUCAGCUGUUUAGAGAUGACCUAAACUAACUAAUCGUAUAUUCUGCAAUGUGUCAAUUGUGAAGACCCAGAGUUUUAAAAAAAAGAGUUUCUUCCCAUUUGUUUACAGAGACUAAAGUAGCACCUGAUCACGUUUCACUCCAUUGUAUUGGCUUGGCAGGAGAAAAAGUCCUGCACGACUCGUUUGGAAGUUGAAUGAUUUUCCACCCUGCAGAUGUAAGGAACUUGUUAUGAACCUCCCAGCCACCAGGAUAAUCACCGAAUCCCAGGAUAUUAUUUAGGAGUGUGCCAACCUCACAAUGUUAGAAAUAGAUUCACCCAUGAUAUUAUUUAUCAUGCAGGUUGGUCAGGACAUUGUACUUUAUAAAGCUCAUUCUGAAAUAUGAUAUCUGUCCCAGGGGAUUCAAUUUAGACCCCAAUUAGGUGUUAGUGAAGGGCUGAAAAAACAACUGUAAACUCCUGUCUCAAAUAAGACAUGAAGGUCAGUCAAUCAGGAAAAUCAUGGAGUGAGUAGGUGUGUCCAACAUUUUGACUGGUGUGUGUAAUAUAUAUAUAUAUAUAUAUAUAUACCUGUUUGAUAUGCAUUUACUGCAUAUCAUAUUGGACAUGUUAUCCUUCAUCACAUGCAAGUAUUUAUUUUGUAUUCAUUGCAUUUAGCUUACAUUAGGAAGAAGUAGCCUAGGUAGUCUAAUCUAGUUACAGUAGAUUGCAUCGUAUCACCUUUCAAUAUUAUUAACGAAUAUGAAACCAUGUUAACUUGAACAUAUCAUUUAAUAAUAUGCACGGGUGUCAUAUUUGUAUGACUGUAUCACAAUGCAAGCCUACUAAUUCAAAAAAUACAGCAGCUCUAAUGCAAUAUUAGCUUCACAAUGAAACACCACUAUUCUUAAAUGGUCAGUAAAAUAGCUUAUUUAGUUGUAAAUGAAAAUCGUAGCCUGUAUGUUAUCAUGCAUGCAAACUUGUCAUGUCCACAACAAUGGAGCAGCAAACCAAGCAACAUGCGAGAGGAGGACCCCAUACCGUAGGAUAAUUAUUCUGGUCGGUGUCAACUUCAUUCAUAAUUCAGGUACUGAGGAGCUCGAUUCUGUUACUUGUUUACCUGCUAUUCGUGUCAGAUGUUUCCAUUUUGAGAUAUCCUUGCUGCACAAUUUUCCUACUGCAAUGAAAUGGGUACUAUUAAAAUCCGACAUCUGUA